rnacentral:rRNA from 1 species
AGUGAACGCUGGCGGCGUGCCUAAUACAUGCAAGUCGAACGGAGCGGCGCACGGGUGAGUAAGGUAUAGCUAAUCUGCCCUACACUAGAGGACAACAGUUGGAAACGGCUGCUAAUACUCUAUAGUGUAGGAUGAGGCUAUAUUGUAUCAGCUAGUUGGUGAGGUAAUGGCUCACCAAGGCUAUGACGCAUAACUGGUUUGAGGGGAUGAUCAGUCACACUGGAACGGAGACACGGUCCGGGCUCCUACGGGAGGCGGCAGUAGGGAAUAUUGCUCAAUGGGGGAAACCCAGAAAGGGCAACGCCGCGUGGAGGAUGACACUUUUCGGAGCGUAAACUCCUUUUGAUAGGGAAGCGGUACCUAACGAAUAAGCACCGGCUAACUCCGUGCCAGCCGCCGCGGUAAUAC